AGUGAACGCUGGCGGCGUGCUUAACACAUGCAAGUCGAACGAGAACGGAUUAUAGCUUGCUAUAAUUGUCAGCUAAGUGGCGCACGGGUGAGUAAUGUAUAGGUAAUAUGCCUCUUACUAAGGGAUCACAAAUGGAAACGUUUGCUAAUACCUUAUACUCAUCAUGAACAUAAGUUAAUAAGGGAAAGAUUUAUUGGUAAGAGAUUAGCCUGUAUUGUAUCAGUUAGUUGGUGGGGUAAUGGCUUACCAAGACUAUGACACAUAACUGGUUUGAGAGGAUGAUCAGUCACACUGGAACUGAGACACGGUCCAGACUCCUACGGGAGGCAGCAGUGGGGAAUAUUGCACAAUGGACGAAAGUCUGAUGCAGCAACGCCGCGUGGAGGAUGACACAUUUCGGUGCGUAAACUCCUUUUAUAUGAGAAGAUAAUGACGGUAUUAUAUGAAUAAGCACCGGCUAACUCCGUGCCAGCCGCCGCCGUAA
rnacentral:rRNA from 1 species